UACGAAGGGGGGCUAGCGUUGCUCGGAAUCACUGGGCGUAAAGCGCACGUAGGCGGAUUGCUAAGUCAGGGGUGAAAUCCUGGAGCUCAACUCCAGAACUGCCUUUGAUACUGGCGAUCUUGAGUCCGGGAGAGGUGAGUGGAACUGCGAGUGUAGAGGUGAAAUUCGUAGAUAUUCGCAAGAACACCAGUGGCGAAGGCGGCUCACUGGCCCGGUACUGACGCUGAGGUGCGAAAAGCGUGGGGGAGCAAACAGG
rnacentral:rRNA from 1 species